AGAGGGUGCGAGCGUUAAUCGGAAUUACUGGGCGUAAAGGGCGCGUAGGUUGAUGUUUAAGUUGGAUGUGAAAGCCCCGGGCUCAACCUGGGAAGGUCAUCCAAAACUGGGCAACUAGAGUACGGUAGAGGGAAGUGGAAUUUCCGGUGUAGCGGUGAAAUGCGUAGAGAUCGGAAGGAACACCAGUGGCGAAGGCGGCUUCCUGGACUGAUACUGACACUGAGGCGCGAAAGCGUGGGGAGCAAACAGGAUUAGAUACCCUGGUAGUCCACGCCGCAAACGAUGAGAACUAGCUGUUGGGGAAACUAUUUUCUUAGUGGCGCAGCAAACGCGAUAAGUUCUCCGCCUGGGGAGUACGGCCGCAAGGUUA
rnacentral:rRNA from 1 species